GAGCUUGCUCUUCUUGGAUGAGUUGCGAACGGGUGAGUAACGCGUAGGUAACCUGCCUUGUAGCGGGGGAUAACUAUUGGAAACGAUAGCUAAUACCGCAUAACAAUGGGUGACUCAUGUCAUUUAUUUGAAAGGGGCAAAUGCUCCACUACAAGAUGGACCUGCGUUGUAUUAGCUAGUAGGUGAGGUAACGGCUCACCUAGGCGACGAUACAUAACCGACCUGAGAGGGUGAUCGGCCACACUGGGACUGAGACACGGCCCAGACUCCUACGGGAGGCAGCAGUAGGGAAUCUUCGGCAAUGGGGGCAACCCUGACCGAGCAACGCCGCGUGAGUGAAGAAGGUUUUCGGAUCGUAAAACUCUGUUGUAAGUCAAGAACGAGUGUGAGAGUGGAAAGUUCACACUGUGACGGUAGCUUACCAGAAAGGGACGGCUAACUACGUGCCAGCAGCCGCGGUAAUACGUAGGUCCCGAGCGUUGUCCGGAUUUAUUGGGCGUAAAGCGAGCGCAGGCGGUUUGAUAAGUCUGAAGUUAAAGGCUGUGGCUCAACCAUAGUUCGCUUUGGAAACUGUCAAACUUGAGUGCAGAAGGGGAGAGUGGAAUUCCAUGUGUAGCGGUGAAAUGUGUAGAUAUAUGGAGGAACACCGGUGGCGAAAGCGGCUCUCUGGUCUGUAACUGACGCUGAGGCUCGAAAGCGU
rnacentral:rRNA from 1 species